rfam:Dipodomys ordii contig_54558, whole genome shotgun sequence.
GGUGGCUUAGUGGUAGAGUGCUUGCCUAGCAUGCAUGAAGCCCUGGGUUCGAUUCCUCAGUACCA